AAAAAGCCCCCGUUAUAAAAAUAAAGAGAAAAGAAAAGCAUAAGUAUUCCAUUUUGACUCUUGAAUUCGGGUGAUUGUUUAAGUUUAGUUGAAGCAAGUAUAUUUGAUGAGUUCUCAAGUUACACUGUAUGAUGCUUACUAAGAAAUUUAUUAUCUUUCAUAUUUUUGCCUUUCAUGGGUUAGCAUGGUUGUUGAACACACACUCACAAUAUCAGUAAUAACAAAUUCAGAUUCGUUGAUUGUUGGGAUAUCAUUGAUCUGUGUUAACAUGAUGUAUUAGCAUAUUUUUGUGAUUUUUCUG
rnacentral:lncRNA from 1 species